AAGUCGUAACAAGGUUUUCGUAGGUGAACCUGCGGAAGGAUCAUUAAUACGUACUUUCACGUAUCACUCAAUCGUGGACUUGUCCCGCUUUUCGUGAAGAGUUGAAGGCGAAAAUUUGUGGUCAUUUUUACCAGCGUGGGGAAAGAGUUGAUUCUCUUUCAUGACCUGUUCGCCGAGGGUUAAUAAAUCGAAGGCUUUUGAUUGGGAUUGACAAGUGCAGCUUGUUCUGCAUGCAUCGUUCUGAUCAAGAAAGCCUCCGAUUCGACUCUUUACGAAGCGUUUUUCUUAAUCCAUGCUGGGAUUUCAAUUAUUUUACCCCAAGUACUAUUAUCAAGAACUAAUUGUGUUUUUUUACUUUCAUUGUGAAAAAACGCCAAAUACCGAAACUUAAGAACAACUCUUAACAACGGAUAUCUUGGUUCUC
rnacentral:misc_RNA from 1 species